GUCUAAGCCUCGCUGCCACGUGGGUUUGCCACUCGGGGCCUGCAAGUCUGCCGAUAUCCACCAGGUGGCGCAGCACCUGGGCUGGGACUCGCCGGAGCUGUGAGGGGAGCUUGGGAUGGGUUUGCGGUCGGUGGAGCGGGUGUUGGUCCUUGAGGGGACUCAAGCAGCUGCGCCUUGUAGAUGCCAUGGGGUUGGGAGUGGACUUGGGCUCAGUCCACAGCCGUCCAGCCCAGACCUACUCGGCACGCAAAUCUCGCCAUUCUCUCUCAACCUCCAUGUUCCGUCCAGCUGGCAAACCAGGGAUACAGACUGGGCUGGAGCACGCAGCUGAAGACUUGAGGGAGACCCUGCAGAUCGCUGUGCAGCUCUUUCCUCUCCAGUACUCUGCCCUGUAAAAUGCAGCCAUCUACUCCCAGCUACUCAAGAGGCUGAGGCAGGAGAAUUGCUUGAACCCGGGAGGCAGAGGAUGCAGUGAACCAAGAUUGUGCCACUGCACUCCAGCCUGGCGACAGAGCAACAUUCCAUCUCCCAAAAUAAAUAAAUAAAUAAAAAAGA
rnacentral:lncRNA from 10 species